GAUGAAGAACGCAGCGAAAUGCGAUAAGUAAUGUGAAUUGCAGAAUUCAGUGAAUCAUCGAAUCUUUGAACGCACAUUGCGCCCGCCAGUAUUCUGGCGGGCAUGCCUGUUCGAGCGUCAUUACAACCCUCAGGCCCCCGGGCCUGGCGUUGGGGAUCGGCGGAAGCCCCCUGCGGGCACAACGCCGUCCCCCAAAUACAGUGGCGGUCCCGCCGCAGCUUCCAUUGCGUAGUAGCUAACACCUCGCAACUGGAGAGCGGCGCGGCCACGCCGUAAAACACCCAACUUCUGAUUGUUGACCUCGAAUCAGGUAGGAAUGCCCGCUGAACUUAAGCAUAUCAAUAAGCGGAGGA
rnacentral:misc_RNA from 1 species